GGGGUGGGGAGGGGAGAGGAGACUGUGGUCACACUAAAGGCAUCAGCUUGAAAACCGAAUUAGUGUGCUCGCAUACUCCCUUAAUUAAAAGAUAUUCACUUAAAAAACUGGAACAAAAAAACAAUAGUACUGUUUGUCUAUCUAAAUAGAAUUCUAGAAUUAAUAGACAGAAUGAAUCUAAUAUAACUCGAGAAAUCUAACAUUAAUUUUGACAUUUUUUUUUGCAGAAGAGAUCUUAGUCACGCAAUUUUACAUCUAAGAUCUUUGGUGCAGAAUUUCUCAAGUUAAAAAAUGUGCAUGAUUUGUCUCUUGUUGAAAGACAAUAAACACUUAAUUCAAGAAUCCCUACUGUUGACCAAUCACAGACAAGGUGUGUAAGGCUACCAACUUCGGCUUGCCGCGAGAAAAAAAUCCUGUGCGCACAAAGAGCCAAAAAAACAACAACUCUUGACCGAAGACUAAACCGAACGAAAAAGUUACAAAAUGUUGUCAUAAUAUAUACACAAACUGUUCUGAACUGUUUCGGAUGGGAAGCAUGAGGACGCCUUAAAGGGGAAUUUAGUUUUGUCACGGCAUCACUGCAACACCAAGCUAAUCUCUUUAAAUGUCUUUCAGACUAAUCUCUUUAAAGGUCUUUCAGACUAAUCUCCUUAAAGGUCUUUCAGACUAAUCUCUUUAAAGGUCUUUCAGACUAAUCUCUUUAAAGGUCUUUCAGACUAAUCUCCUUAAAGGUCUUUCAGACUAAUCUCUUUAAAGGUCUUUCAGACUAAUCUCUUUAAAGGUCUUUCAGACUAAUCUCUUUAAAGGUCUUUCAGACUAAUCUCCUUAAAGGUCUUUCAGACUAAUCUCUUUAAAGGUCUUUCAGACUAAUCUCUUUAAAGGUCUUUCAGACUAAUCUCUUUAAAGGUCUUUCAGACUAAUCUCCUUAAAGGUCUUUCAGACUAAUCUCUUUAAAGGUCUUUCAGACUAAUCUCUUUAAAGGUCUUUCAGACUAAUCUCUUUAAAGGUCUUUCAGACUAAUCUCUUUAAAGGUCUUUCAGACUAAUCUCUUUAAAGGUCUUUCAGACUAAUCUCUUUAAAAUUAAUCUCUUUAAAACUAAUCUCUUUAAAGGUCUUUCAGACUAAUCUCUUUAAAGGUCUUUCAGACUAAUCUCUUUAAAAUUAAUCUCUUUAAAACUAAUCUCUUUAAAGGUCUUUCAGACUAAUCUCUUUAAAGGUCUUUCAGACUAAUCUCUUUAAAACUAAUCUCUUUAAAGGUCUUUCAGACUAAUCUCUUUAAAGGUCUUUCAGACUAAUCUCUUUAAAGGUCUUUCAGACUAAUCUCAAUUAACCAAAAACCUCGUGAAAUUUGGUCAUAUUUUAUUUAUUUAACUAGGCAAGUCAAGUAAGAACAAUUCUUAUUUACAAUGACGGCCUACCAUAAGGCAAAAGGCCUCCUGCGGGGACGGGGGGUGGGAUUAAAUAUAGGACAAAACACACAUCAUGACAACAGAGCUAAACUACAUAAAGAGAGACCUAAAGACAACAACAUGGCAUGGCAGCAACACAUGACAACAACAUGGUAGCAACACAUGACAACCACAUGGCAGCAACACAUGACAACCACAUGGUAGCAACAACACAGUAGCAGCCCAAAACAGGGUACAAACAUUGUUGGGCACAGACAACAGUGCAAAGGGUAAGAAG